UGUGGAAGCAGCUUCUACUCAUCAAGUCCCAGAGGGAGGGACGUCUCCCCGGCGGAAAAGCAGAAAAGGGGGCGGCGAAGCUGAGCGGACCCCUCCCCAUUUCAGCCAGCUGAUGGGCGUUCAACUAAGGCUGAACAACGAGAGAGGCGCCAAAGCAGACUUGCCUGGCACUGAGCUCCGAAAAGGCUCGUCUCCAAGAGGGCAGGUUUCUUCCAUUCUCAGUGGAAUGCUGUUGUUUGAAGUGAGGGCAUCUCCAGUGAAGGCAGACACCGACAACGAACCUCCGGUCACACGGAAAGCUCUUGAAGCUGGUUAAAAUCACAUGGUUGCUUUCUUUGUUGUUGUUUCCAAACAUUCUUCUGAAAGUGUCUGAAACAGAAUCUUGCAUGCUCAUUAUUGAGAAAUCUCUUUUACAUUUAUGUAGCAGGUCGUGGCAGUAACACCACUAUUCUGAGGAAAACUACUGGAUGUCUAGUAACCCAGUUGAAGUGAAACUUAUGAAUAAGCAGGCUUAUUUUAUUAGCAAGGUACGAGGAGCAGUUGGCUGAAUUAUUAUGGCAAUUGUCCCUAAAAGUAAGUCAAUGCAAAAUUGGGAUGUAUAGCUUCACAAUUUUCAUCCUUCCUGGCAAGAAUUAAUAGUUUUGAUCUUUCUCUACAGUGCAAGAAAAUAAUUACAUCUGAAUAGUUUACAAAGAUUGUUUGAGACUUGUUAUGUGCAAAAAAGGAGUGCAAUAUCUGCUGUGUAGAAACAUAUUUUCUCAUCAUAAAAUGGCAUUUUCUGCCCAGAAAAGCUAAUCUAUGAGCAUAAAAUGCAGCUUUAUGUACAGAAAGCUUAUUCUUGUAUGAAAAGAUUUUUUUGGUGAAGAAAUAGUAAUUUUGUACUAUUUUCAGCACAAAAACUCAGUUUUUACAAAAAAAGGGCACAUUUUUAUAUACUCUGAGCGCCCUUUCAGACAGGCCCUAUAUCCCAAAAUCUGAUCCAAGGUUUUCUGUUUAUUCCAGAUUAUCUGGCUGUGCUGACUCAUAUAAUCCAGUUUAAAGCAGAAAACCUGGGAUCAGAUCCUGGGAUAUAGGGCCUAUCUGGAAGGGUCCUGAGUCCCAGAUUCUAAAAGUCCUUCACUUGUCUAGGAUUACAUUGAUAAGAGCUCUUGACAUCCAAGAAACCUGUUUUUGACCAAUUUUUUUUUUUUAAAAAAUUCAAUUCCUAAUGCACAGUGGAUGAAUGUUGGAUUUCGACUAAGAGGAUAUGGGCUCAAAUCCGUCACCAGGAUGUUAUAAAGCAAAAAGAUGCUGAUUUCUGGUAUUUAGAGUCGUACAAACAUUAUAAUAAUAAAACAUGUAGGGUUCCAAUUUAUAUCAAUUCCUAAUCACAAAACAUGAUUUAGACUUGUGAGUGUGUAAAGAAUGGAGUUAGUAGCAAACAUUUUCCUAGACUGGGUACUUUCUCAAAUGCAUGCUCUAUAAAGUUUUAUGCCACCAAUUUCAUUUUCUCAGCCUCUAAGGUGCUACAUGAUCCAUUUGGAUAUUCAUAUUCCAGACUAAUACGUUAUAUCUUAUCAUUCUUCUUAUGUCAAGUCACUAUUCCUUAGGAAGGUUACUUCUGUUAGUGUACAAUGGUUCAACAGCUCCCCAGUUCUGGCAGUCACCCGCUUUGACACUCAAGGACCUAUCACCAAAACUGUUUCCUAUGAACGUGAUGCCAUGUGGAAAAAAUUACCCAUGUGUGUGUUUCUAUGCCUGUUUCCAUGUGAUCACCUUAAUAUUUCUCUCUAUCCCUUUUGCCCUAUGUUUUCUGCUUGCCCAAGAGCAGUGGAGGCUAGAUCCAGCCUUUGUUUUUUUCCAUGUCAUGCUGGAAUCCCACUUGGCAAUUGAACAGGAUGAUUCACUGUUCACAGCCUCUGUUUCAGGAAGCUGGGGGUUGCCCAAGCAUGUACCUAAUUCAUUCUUGUUAGAUGAUUAAACUUAAACCAUCGUGGAAGUCUAAAUUCCUUUGGAAGUUCUGAAGGCAUGAACUUACUUUAUGACUUUUCCUCUGUGUGGAAAGCAGGCUUAGGUUUUUUCCUAGUCGGUUUCAGUAUCAUUGUGACAGAAUGGUCAAAUGAGUUUGGUUCAAUGUUUUCCCUUUCUUUUGAAAAAUAUCUUCCAUUCCAUCAAUUGCCAAACUAAAAAUCUUAACAUCGUACCAUCUGCCUGUUUCUCUUUUUCUAUCUGUAUAUCCUGUUUGUAUGUUUUCCUUCACUGCUUAGACAGAAUCACAUUCAGUUAUAAGAAAUGUUCCAAACCUUUAUUGACCUUUUAUUAGUGUUUUUCCAAAAGUCUUCUGGGUUUAUGAUGCUAUUAAUCUUACUGGAUUUUCUGUAUUUCAAGGUGAGCAAACAGAAAAAUCCAUUAAAGCAGGAAAAACCCAAUAUACAGAAGUGUAUCAUAAAAACUAUAGUUUCUUUGUAAGACAAUGCUUUCAAUGCAACUCAAAUAGUAAAUAAUAGCUUUGUACAACCCUAUAGAUGUUUACCCAGAAUUUAGACCUGUUAAAUUACAUUAUUCUUAAUCCUGUGGUAAAUGGGAAUAAGAUUAUAGUCUUAGUGAAUUUUAGUUUUUGUUUUGCAGUUGUUCAUAUAGUUUUUUAUAUUUACUUCUAACUAACCAUUGCUUUGGUGGUUUAUUGUAUCUUGAUUGUGUCAUUUGUUCCCCUGUCAUCUGUUUUCUUGACAUCUAUCUUGUACUCCAUUUUCUUCUAACUGGCCUUAAUUUUUUUUUAAAGAUGAAACAGCAGUGGUCCAAACAUCCAGAAAGUAUCAAAUUUAAAAUAUUGCAUUUCUUGCAAAUAGUUAUUUUCACAUUAACUAAAGCUUGACUACAUUAUGUUAUGAUCAUAACACAAUUGUACUAUUUUUGUUCUGCAAUUCUUUUUAUUAUAGUUACAAUGUGUGCCUGACCCUUAAGUAUGUAUUGUACCACAACAAAAUAGCUUGUAGCAUUAUGAGUAUACUUUUCUUUUUUAAAGAAAUCACUUUUAAAUUCUCUCUGAGUAACGAGAAGGUUGAUAAUUACUUUUUGAUCCUUCACUACUACUCUGAGCCAGAAUGAAGAAGUCAAGCUACAAAAGCCAAUAGGAAAGAAUAAUAAUAAAUGGAAGUCCUCCGUCAACUCAUUAAAGAACAAUAACCAUGGAUAUGUACAUGUAGUUUAAAAAGAUUUUGUAGAACAAUAUAAAAGAUUUUAAAUAAAAAUAAAAAUCUAUUCAACAUAUAAAAUAUAUUGAAUUCCAAAAAUAAAAUAUUUUAUGUAAAGAUUCAGAAUAUUGGACAUUUGUCAACAGAUAUCUUCAGUCACAAUUUUGUAUAGUGUGCUCUACAACACAGGAAGGAAAAUAAUUAAUUGUCACCAUCUGUACUUAAUGACAAAUUCAAUCAAUUUAAAUUUUUAGAUUCAGCUCAAUUUUUAGCUAUUUUGGAUAUUUAUAAGAGAUUCUUUCCAUUUGCUCCUUGGCUUUGUUAACUGUAACUAUGGGGGGAAAACCCUGGAAUAGUGCAGUAUCUUUUCAAAUAUAAUGCUAAUGUGACUGGGGAACAGGCGGUUCAACCACCAGGCCAACUAGGCAGUUGCCUGUGGCUCCAUCUUGUUGGGGGUGCCAUUGAGGCAACUCCUGUCUCCUUUAGCCUGCCUCCGCAGGUUGCUCUUAGUUCGGGUCUCAGCGUCGUUGGAGCGGUUAAGCUCCUUUACCAGGAUAAAAAGUAAUUUUUGGAGGCCUUAAUAAUUUCGCCUGGCUAGACAGCAGUACAUGUGAAAAAGAUCUUGGAGUCCUUGUGGACAACAAGUUAAACAUGAGCCAGCAAUGUGAUGUGGCUGCUAAGAAAGCCAACGGGAUUUUGGCCUGCAUCAAUAGGGGUAUAGCAUCUAGAUCCAGGGAAGUCAUGCUACCCAUCUAUUCUGCCUUGGUCAGACCACAUCUGGAAUACUGCGUCCAAUUCUGGGCACCACAGUUGAAGGGAGAUGUUGACAAGCUGGAAUGUGUCCAGAGGAGGGCAACUAAAAUGAUCAAAGGUCUGGAGAACAAGCCCUAUGAGGAGAGGCUUAAAGAGCUGGACAUGUUUAGCCUGCAGAAGAGAAGGCUGAGAGGAGACAUGAUAACCAUGUACAAAUACGUGAGGGGAAGUCAUAGGGAUGAAGGAGCAAGCUUGUUUUCUGCUGCCCCGCAGACUAGGACGCAGAACAAUGGCUUCAAAUUAUAGGAAAGGAGAUUCCACCUGAACAUCAGGAAGAACUUCCUCACUGUGAGGGCUGUUCGGCAGUGGAACUCUCUCCCCCGGACUGUGGUGGAGGCUCCUUCUUUGGAGGCUUUUAAGCAGAGGCUGGAUGGCCAUCAGUCGGGUGUGCUUUGAAUGCGAUUUCCUGCUUCUUGGCAGGGGGUUGGACUGGAUGGCCCAUGAGGUCUCUUCCAACUCUACUAUUCUAUGAUUCUGCAAGGUAUUGAACUGCUUUUUCUGUUGAUUUGUUGUAAAACAUGAUGUUUUAGUGCUUAAUUUGUAAAAUCUUAAUGUAAUUUGAUGUUUAAUAGGCUUUUCCUUAAUCCCUCCUUAUUAUCAAACAUUUUCGCUUAUCCAACGCUUUUAUUUUUCAGUGAUUGGUUUGGGGGGGGGGGGCAAAAUUCUGUUCGCCUACACUUGAAAAAUACCUAGGGCCGGCUCUGCAUGGGGAAUAAAGUUGUUUCAUGGAUUUCAGACAGAACUAUUUUUUGAAGUAAAGAUGUAAUAGAAAUACAUAAAAUGAACAAUCCAAAUGUUGUAAAGAACACUGUUUUGUUAAGAAAUGCUUUAAAAGUUGCCUGGUCUUUUAUUUUCUUUCACUUAAUUCUCUGUCUCAGCACAUUGCUGUUUACAAGCAAAAAGUUGUUUCCAUGACUGCUGUCCUUACAAAUUCACCCCAAGUUUGGAAAGUCAAUAGUGAUGUGUUUUUGUUUUUCUUGAACUCAUGCCAGAAACAAUAUAUGAUGGCGAAUCACUAUCAGUUUAGUCUCAUAAAGCUGUAUUGUUCUGCCAGAUUUAGUAGUAAAAAUAAUUAAAUUUUUUAACAUAGUAAGCAA